GUUUUUUCAGGAAAAAUCGCAAAUCAUAGAUCAUGAGAUACGGCUUUUGUAACCCGAAGCGAACGUCAACAACGCAGCUGAGAGCCUGAGAGAAUAAACACUUCUCACGCGUCACACGCUUACUUUGCCUUUGGAAUAUUCGUCUGAGAAAGGCAUUCAUCUACAACUAUCACAAAAUGAUACAAUGCACUUGUUAUUUUCAAACAGCUUGUUUCGGCAGGAAAAAUCGCAAAGCACAACCAGUGUUGGAAUCGAAAAUCCUGGCGGGCAUUAAGACUAUCAUCACAGUUCGUUUAGUUUGAUAUAAGCGAUGUUUUGUUUGUCUUCACACUGAAUCUUAGCCAGUUGACUGUAAAUUAUGCUGAAGUUUGAAUUAUGUCAAAAGCAGCCAAAUACCUUUUGCAAAAAAGGUCUUGGAAGUUGGAAGUUGGAAUCGUUUUAUGAAAAAACGAUAGGAUGUCAGGAUAGUUUUGUUUAAGAUUCAAAUUUCAUGUAGUUUCAGAUUCAGUUUCAGAUUCGAGCUGAAACAGCUAGUGUUAGUCUGCGUAAAUCCUUCAACCACAGCAACUGUAUUGUCUGUAUAAACCUGCAGAUAUACUGCAAAGAAAGACAUUCAUCUACAUUAGUCAUUAGGCCUACUGUGCGCUUCAUUCUGUGUGGUUUUUAUUGCGAUUCAGCAAACCAUGUCCGCAGGAAAAAUCGCAAAAGAUUGUUAUUUUAGACUGCUCUUGUACAUGCAGGCAUGGCUUGUCAAAUUUGUUGAAAUAUGGAGUCUCUAGAUCGUUGGAAAUGGCAUUUUCAGAGCCUUCUGUUCCUUAUACACACAAGGUUUGGUAGCUUUUAUUUAUAUCAAACAAAACCAUAUUCGAUAUUGUUGAAGUUGUGUUAUUUUCGAAAUCCGUGAGAAUCCGUGUGUUUUAAUACUGAAGAAUUACGUACAUUUUGCAUAACUUUAUUGGAGAACAAGGCACAACAUUAAUUAAUUUAUUUUUUAUUAUUAAAAGGUACAAAAGGUACAAAACUUGGACCCCUCUUCUUCCUUGUGAUGAUAAAUGACUUGCAAACCAACACUCCAAUGUACAAAUAUGUCGAUGACUGCUCCACAUACGAAAUCGUUUCAAGAUCGUCCCCUACUUCAUCGCUUCAAGCUAAUAUAAACCCUAUAAAUGACUGGACCAAUCACAACAACAUGCGGCUUAAUGUAUCUAAAACCAAAGAACUGCGUAUAUCCUUUCUUAGAGUCCCUAUGGUAUUCGAUGCCCUCUCUUCAUCUGGUUUAAACAUAGAAAUCGUCCAGACCUUCAAACUUCUGGGAGUGAUAAUAUCAUCGGAUCUUACCUGGAAUGCGCACAUUGAUUACAUCUGCACCAAAGCAAGUAAACGUCUUUAUGCUCUAAGGAUCCUCAAACGAUCUGGUGCCCCAGCCAAUGAUUUAAUAACGGUCUUUUGUGCAUUUAUUCGUCCAGUUUUGGAAUACGCCUCACCUGUAUGGCAUUUUUCUCUCCCUCAAUUCCUCGCUGAUCAAAUCGAGAGUAUACAAAAACGUGCAUUGAAAAUCGCUUUCCCCCAGUCCUCCUAUACUACCUCACUAAGAAACACUGGCCUUCUUACACUUUACCAGCGAAGAGAGAAUCAGUGCUUGUCAUUCUAUAAGAAUAUCCAUCAACAUUCAGACGAUAAGUUGAGAACGCUACUUCCCAGUGCUAUAUCUCACAAAUUCAGUCUAAGAAAUAAACGCACUUAUCCUAUGUAUAAGUGCAAAACUGAACGAUAUAAGAACAGUUUUAUCCCAAAGUGUGUUAGAAACUGGGACUGACCAUAGACAUAACAAAAUAUUUUAUAGUACAUAUCAUUAAUAUAGUUUAUAUUAUAGUAGUUUUAAAUUGAACUUUUUGCAAAUUUAAAAAUUUUAAUACUAUCUAUGUAAUAUCACGUUUUUUAAAUUUUUAUUAAUUUACAAUGUGGUAAUUAUUAAAAUCAAUCAAUCAAUCAAUCAAUCAAUCAAUAACUCAUAGUGGGGCCCCCUGUGGCCGAGGCGAAAGUAAAUCAUGCAGUCGGGAAAACGUCUAACUUUGAAAGAUUAUUUUGCAAAACAUACUCGUACACGAUCGUGACUAAAAGACCUAAAACACCACACGAGUACAUACGAGUAACACACAAGUACAUACGAGUACAUACGAGUAACAUACGAGUACAUACGAGUAACACACGAGUACAUGGGAGUAACAUACGAGUAAAACACAAGUACAUACGAGUAAAACACAAGUACAUACGAGUAGAAUACGAGUAAAAUACGAGUAGUAAACUUGUUUUUAGUGUUUGUAGAUUGAAUACAGGCAAAAAGAUCGUCUUCUCUGUCGAAAAACGUGAAAUAGACUGAAACCGGCUAUCUUCAAAACCCGGAACGGGGAAUGGAGGAACGGGAAAUGGGAGAACGGGGAAUGGGGCCG